rnacentral:lncRNA from 1 species
CCGGACUGGCACCCGAAGCCGAGAAGGCCCGGGAGAACCCGUUCAAAUACCUGCACUUUCACUUACAUGUCACCAAAAAUAAAAUUGGACAGCACGUCGUUGCAUAUAGAAAGGUCUAAUUACCUGUAUCAGCACAACACACACAAAUAUAUAUAUAUAAUACUUGGCCGUCGGGGCCACCACAUAUACAAAUAUAACGUUACUAUAUAAACUUCCAUGACUUUACCCUUCCUUAUGUCUACAAAGCCUCUAGGAUAUACAUGACAUAACUAGGGUCGGGACAAACCCCCGCCCACACGUGACUCAUGUACAAUAACAAAACAUAAGGAACCGACUCGGAAAGCUCCGAAGCAAACUGGAGCUCACCAACAAUAGCUGUAUGACC